rnacentral:rRNA from 1 species
GUUAUAGGAUCAAGCGACUAAGUGCAUGUGGUGGAUGCCUUGGCGAUUACAGGCGAUGAAGGACGUGGCAGCCUGCGAAAAGCUCCGGGGAGUCGGCAAACAGACAUCGAUCCGGAGAUGUCCGAAUGGGGAAACCCACCCGCAAGGGUAUCCCUCGCUGAAUACAUAGGCGAGCGGAGGCGAACCUGCUGAACUGAAACAUCUAAGUAGGCAGAGGAACAGAAAUCAACCGAGAUUCCGAAAGUAGUGGCGAGCGAAAUCGGACCAGCCUGCGCGUUUUAGCCGUUUCUUAGUGGAACGGUCUGGAAAGUCCGGCCAUAGUGGGUGAUAGCCCCGUACACGAAAGGACACUGGUGGAACUAGGCGCGCGACAAGUAGGGCGGGACACGUGAAAUCCUGUCUGAACAUGGGGGGACCAUCCUCCAAGGCUAAAUACUCGUAAUCGACCGAUAGUGAACCAGUACCGUGAGGGAAAGGCGAAAAGAACCCCGGGAGGGGAGUGAAAUAGAUCCUGAAACCGCAUGCAUACAAACAGUAGGAGCCCCAGCUUCAAUGGUCUUCGGUUCCUGCCGCCCUGCGGGCGGCAAGAGAACUCAAGAUGAAAUAGAUCUUGCGCACACGUGAGGUCCAUUGAAGCUGGGGUGACUGCGUACCUUUUGCAUAAUGGGUCAGCGACUUACAUUGCGUGGCGAGCUUAACCGAGUAGGGAAGGCGUAGCGAAAGCGAGUCCGAAUAGGGCGUCCAGUCGCGCGGUGUAGACCCGAAACCAGAUGAUCUAUCCAUGGCCAGGUUGAAGGUGGGGUAACACUCACUGGAGGGCCGAACCGACUACUGUUGCAAAAGUAGCGGAUGAGCUGUGGAUAGGGGUGAAAGGCCAAACAAAUCUGGAAAUAGCUGGUUCUCCCCGAAAACUAUUGAGGUAGUGCCUCGCGUAUCGCUCUGGGGGGUAGAGCACUGUUAUGGCUAGGGGGACAUGGCGUCUUACCAAACCAUGGCAAACUCCGAAUACCUGGAAGCGUCAGCGCGGGAGACAGUGCACCGGGUGCUAACGUCCGGACACGAAAGGGAAACAACCCAGACCGCCAGCUAAGGUCCCAAAUAUCGGCUAAGUGGGAAACGAAGUGGGAAGGCUAAGACAGUCAGGAAGUUGGCUUAGAAGCAGCCAUCCUUUAAAGAAAGCGUAAUAGCUCACUGAUCGAGUCUUCCUGCGCGGAAGAUGUAACGGGGCUAAGCCGGUAACCGAAGCUGCGGAUGUGCGCGCAAGCGCACGUGGUAGGGGAGCGUUCUGUAGGCCUGCGAAGGCGGCUCGAGAGGGCCGCUGGAGGUAUCAGAAGUGCGAAUGCUGACAUGAGUAGCGUUAAAGCGGGUGAAAAGCCCGCUCGCCGUAAGCCCAAGGUUUCCUGCUCUACGUUCAUCGGAGCAGGGUGAGUCGGCCCCUAAGGCGAGGCCGAAAGGCGUAGUCGAUGGGAAGCAGGUCAAUAUUCCUGCACCGCCGCCUAGUGCGAUGGGGGGACGGAGCGCUGAAGAUCAUCCGGGUGUUGGAUGUCCCGGUUUCUGAUCGUAGGUGGCCGGUAGGCAAAUCCGCCGGCGUAUCACCAAGGUGAAGGAUCGAGUGGCGUAAGCCGCGAAGUGAUUGGAUGUGCUUCCAGGAAAAGCCCCUAAGCUCCAGCUGGGCGGGACCGUACCGCAAACCGACACUGGUGGGCGAGCUGAAUAUGCUCAGGCGCUUGAGAGAACUCGGGAGAAGGAACUCGGCAAAUUGACACCGUAACUUCGGGAGAAGGUGUGCCCUAGUAGCGUGACGGGAGAGACGCCCGGAGCGCGAAUGGGUCGCAGAGAAUCGGUGGCUGCGACUGUUUAUUAAAAACACAGCACUCUGCAAAGACGAAAGUCGACGUAUAGGGUGUGACGCCUGCCCGGUGCUGGAAGGUUAAGUGAUGGGGUGCAAGCCCUUGAUCGAAGCCCCAGUAAACGGCGGCCGUAACUAUAACGGUCCUAAGGUAGCGAAAUUCCUUGUCGGGUAAGUUCCGACCUGCACGAAUGGCGUAACGAUGGCCACACUGUCUCCUCCCGAGACUCAGCGAAGUUGAAGUGUUUGUGAUGAUGCAAUCUCCCCGCGGCAAGACGGAAAGACCCCAUGAACCUUUACUGUAGCUUUGCAUUGGACUGUGAACCGACCUGUGUAGGAUAGGUGGGAGGCUUUGAAGCGGGGCCGCUAGGUCUCGUGGAGCCGUCGUUGAAAUACCACCCUGGUUUGUUUGCGGUUCUAACCUAGGCCCGUGAUCCGGGUCGGGGACAGUGCAUGGUAGGCAGUUUGACUGGGGCGGUCUCCUCCUAAAGGGUAACGGAGGAGUACGAAGGUACGCUAGGCACGGUCGGAAAUCGUGCUGAUAGUGCAUAGGCAUAAGCGUGCUUGACUGCGAGACUGACAAGUCGAGCAGGUGCGAAAGCAGGUCUAAGUGAUCCGGUGGUUCUGUAUGGAAGGGCCAUCGCUCAACGGAUAAAAGGUACUCUGGGGAUAACAGGCUGAUACCGCCCAAGAGUUCAUAUCGACGGCGGUGUUUGGCACCUCGAUGUCGGCUCAUCUCAUCCUGGGGCUGUAGCCGGUCCCAAGGGUAUGGCUGUUCGCCAUUUAAAGAGGUACGUGAGCUGGGUUUAAAACGUCGUGAGACAGUUUGGUCCCUAUCUGCCGUGGGCGCUGGAAGAUUGACGGGGGCUGCUCCUAGUACGAGAGGACCGGAGUGGACGCACCUCUGGUGUACCGGUUGUCACGCCAGUGGCAGCGCCGGGUAGCUAUGUGCGGAAGAGAUAACCGCUGAAAGCAUCUAAGCGGGAAACUCGCCCGAAGAUAAGUCUUCCCGGGGACUCGAUCCCCCUAAAGGGUCGUCCGAGACCAGGACGUUGAUAGGCCGGGUGUGGAAGGGCUGUGAGGCCUUGAGCUAACCGGUACUAAUUGCUCGUGCGGCUUGAUCCUAUAACC